AAAAAAAAAAAAGGGGGGGGGGGGGAGGAACAUGACACUGAAGCACUCUUUAAAAGGGUUAAUGAUCCUAACAGAAAAAGUAUGAACACUGGAUUGUUUAGGGUUGUUUUGUUUUGGGUUUUUUUUAUUUAAUUGAAUGGCUUUGUUGUUACAGUUGUACAGCAGUCAGUACACUGCACUUGUAGCACCUUCGAUACUGGCUCAGAGCUCCUUUUCCAGGGAGAAAAUGUAACUGGCUGUCUGAUGUGGAAAUGGGUCUUUAUGCUCUAACCUGCACUUUUUUGUAAAGGGAUUAUUUAUGUUUCCUGAAAACCUUAGACUUGUUCUGAGCAUCAUCACGCAGUGCUGGCUUCUACCAGCUUAGAAACCUGAGCUGUCCCUCUAAAAUGUCUGUAUUUAGUUUAAAAUUUAACUGAUGUAACCAACUCAUACAGGAGGAGAACCUGGCAUCCUUGAUUUUUAUCCCUGUGGAUUUGGGACGGAUUCGCCUUGCACUUGCCCUGGUUCCCCUACUCCUUUCUAGUGAGCAACAGCCUCUGAGUAGGACCAGCAAGGAACAAUGGCUCCCAAAUGCUGCUAAGCUUCUGAUGUGCCUUCAAAAACUUGGAACGCGUAAUCUCUGUGAAAGCUGAUGACGGAUCCCUGCCUGCCCUCCUUCUCCCCCUGCCAGCUGUAGUCUGCCCCUCUUCAGCUUCUCCUGCCGCUGCGUGUUGCUGUGUGUCCCCCUCUGGAGCCUUGGGUCACUCUUUCCCCGCACAGGCCCGGGCAGGAUGACAAAAGCUGUUCUUUCCAGCUGGUACCGCUCCGUUUUUCCUGUGCAGCCUGACAGCAGGGCUGGUCCCGGGCACAGAGGGUCCAACAGCCACAAGCCCUGGGGCCUCCUGCAGCCUCAGUCACUCGCUGUUUGAUGCCCACGAAACACCCCUCAGUGUUACACCGUGCCGGCUGCGUGGUAGGGUCUGGUUCACGAGUGGUGGGGAGGGAUAGGGAAAAGCUGGGUUCCUGGAAAAUGGUUGGUUAAAGAAAGCGGGUUGUUCUGUGGUUUACUAUUUUUCAGUGUUUUGCAUUAACCAGCAGCGGGUUUGGGUUUCUGGUUGUUGUUGCCAUAUUUUUAUGGCGAUCUAUUGUAUGCCUGAUCUACCCUGCCACUUGUUCAAGGAUGACAGAAGGCACCGCUUCUAAGCACAGCAGAAGUGAUGCUUUGGGCAAUUAAAAACAUUUCUUACAACCA